rnacentral:rRNA from 1 species
UACGUAGGGCGCAAGCGUUGUCCGGAAUUAUUGGGCGUAAAGAGCUCGUAGGUGGUGUGUCGCGUCUGCCGUGAAAGCCCGGGGCUUAACUCCGGGUCUGCGGUGGAUACGGGCAGACUAGAGGCAGGUAGGGGGAGAACGGAAUUCCCGGUGUAGCGGUGAAAUGCGCAGAUAUCGGGAGGAACACCGGUGGCGAAGGCGGUUCUCUGGGGCCUGUACUGACGCUGAGGAGCGAAAAGCGUGGGGGAGCGAACAGG